GCCUUCUCCUUUAUAGCUGUUAUAGACUUUAUCGAGUGCUUGUAUAGCUGCUUGUGAAUCGGAGUGAUGUGAGGUGGGACUUAUCCUGAACACUAAGUCUAUCAUCCUGAACUGGUUUGAGGUUUAACCUAAAAUUACAAGUCAACGAUCUGAGCACUUCAACAACCAGAGCGGGAAUGAUAUUCAAGGUUAAAGUAACACGCAAAACAAAACUCGAUUCACCAUUCCUUCACGUUACGUAACUAAAGAAAGACCCAAUUGGCCCAAUUCCUUU